rnacentral:rRNA from 1 species
AUGAACGCUGGUGGCGUGCUUUACACAUGCAAGUCGAGCGAGGGCGGCCCGCAAGGGGUCAGUCGAGCGGCGAACGGGUGAGUAACGCGUGGAUUAUUCUACCCUGAGGUGGGGGAUAACCCGGGGAAACUCGGGCUAAUUACCGCAUGAUACCGUGAGGUCAAAGGGGGCUCGCAAGGGCUCUCGCCAUAGGAGGAGUCCCGCGUCCGAUUAGCUAGUUGGUAGGGUAAUGGCCUACCAAGGCGACGAUCGGUAGCCGGCCUGAGAGGGUGAUCGGCCAACACUGGAACUGAGACACGGUCCAGACUCCUACGGGGAAGCAGCAGUGGGGGAAUUUUGCGCAAAUGGGCUAAACGCCUGACGCAGCAACGCCGCGUGGAGGAUGAAGGUCUUUGGGAUUGUAAACUCCUGUCGACCGGGAAAAAAAGCGACUUCGACCUAACACGUCCGGGGAGUUGAUUGUACCGGUGGAGGGAAGCCCCGGCUAACUCCUGUGCCAGAGCAGCCGCGGUAAUACAGAGGGGGCAAGCGUUAUUCGGAAUUAUUAAUUGGGGCGUAAAGGGCGCGUAGGCGGCCUGGCAAGUGGAAGGUGAAAUCCCUCGGCUUAACCGAGGAACUGCCCUCCAAACUGCUUGGCUUGAGUCCGGGAGAGGUGAGUGGAAUUCCCAGUUGUAAGCGGUGAAAUGCGUAGAUAUUGGGAGGAACACCAGUGGCGAAGGCGGCUCACUGGACCGGAACUGACGCUGAGGCGCGAAAGCGUGGGGGAGCAAACAGGGAUUAGAUACCCCUGGUAGUCCACGCCGUAAACGAUGAGGCACUAGGCGCUUGUAGGGGUAGCGACCCCCGAGGGCCGGCAAGCUAACAGCAUUAAAGGCACUCCGCCUGGGGAGUACGGUCCGCAAGGCUGAAACCUCAAAGGAAUUGACGGGGGGCCCGCACAAGCGGUGGAGCAUGUGGUUUAAUAUUAAUUCGACCGCAACGCGAAGAAACCUUACCUAGGCUUGACAUACACGGGAAACCGGUCAGAAACGGCUGGCCCUCUUCGGAGCCCGUGCACAGGUGCUGGCAUGGCUGUCGUCAGCUCGUGUCGUGAGAUGUUUGGGUUUGGGUUCUAAGUCCACGCAACGAGCGCAAACCCCUGUCUCUAGUUUGCCAGCAGCGCGUUCAUGGCGGGGACUCUAGAGAGACUGCCGGUGCCAAACCGGAGGAAGGUGGGGAUGACGUCAAGUCAUCAUGGUCCUUACGUCUAGGGGCUACACACACGUGCUACAAUGGCGGGGACAGAGGGUCGCGAGCCGGCAACGGCAAGCCAAUCCCCGAAACCCCGCCUCAGUUUCGGAUUGUCGUCUGCAACUCGACGGCAUGAAGCUGGAAUCGCUAGUAAUCGUGGAUCAGCUACGCCACGGUGAAUACGUUUCCCGGGCCUUGUACACACCGCCCGUCACGCCAUGGAAGCUGUGAGCGCCCGAAGUCCGUGUCGGAACCCGCAAAGGGCCAAGCGGCCGAAGGCGAGCGCAGUGACUGGGGCG